GACGAAGGUGGCUAGCGUUGCUCGGAAUUACUGGGCAUAAAGCGCGCGUAGGUGGUCCUGUAAGCGGGGGAUGAAAGCCCAUGGCUCACCCAUGGAACUGUCCUUCGGACUGCAGGGCUGGAGGGCGGGAGGGGAGAAUGGAAGUCCCGGUGUAGCGGUGAAAUGCGUAGAUAUCGGGAGGAACGCCGGUGGCGAAAGCGAUUCUCUGGCCCGUUCCUGACACUGAGGCGCGAAAGCUAGGGGAGCAAACAGG
rnacentral:rRNA from 1 species